rnacentral:rRNA from 1 species
GUGGGGAAUCUUCCGCAAUGGACGAAAGUCUGACGGAGCAACGCCGCGUGAACGAUGACGGCCUUCGGGUUGUAAAGUUCUGUUAUACGGGACGAAUGGUACGACGGUCAAUACCCGUCGUAAGUGACGGUACCGUAAGAGAAAGCCACGGCUAACUACGUGCCAGCAGCCGCGGUAAUACGUAGGUGGCAAGCGUUGUCCGGAAUUAUUGGGCGUAAAGGGCGCGCAGGCGGCGUCGUAAGUCGGUCUUAAAAGUGCGGGGCUUAACCCCGUGAGGGGACCGAAACUGCGAUGCUAGAGUAUCGGAGAGGAAAGCGGAAUUCCUAGUGUAGCGGUGAAAUGCGUAGAUAUUAGGAGGAACACCAGUGGCGAAAGCGGCUUUCUGGACGACAACUGACGCUGAGGCGCGAAAGCCAGGGGAGCAAACGGGAUUAGAUACCCCUGUAGUCC